GCAUGCGCACUUAUGAUCCAUGCAUUGUACUAAGGAAGCGACCAGCUUGUAAGAGGUUAGCAUCUUUGCCCUGACUUUAUCAGGUUGUGCCUGAUUCAUCCGACCUACAUAGAAAUGAACUCCUUCACUGAGGUCGGCCACAUCGGCAUUCAAAGCCUUGUUGUAGUACACGCUUUUGAGGAGGCCUGUCCGUCCUCUCCGGUCUUUGAGGAGGUCGGUCUGUUCGUUUCGGGCUUUGGUAAACUCAAGGGUGUUGCUAGUCUGAUUCUUUGUACUCGGUAGGUCGGGCUUAUUACUGCCCGGUCCGACCAGAUUGAAAGGCUUUCCAUUCACGUGUACACGUGUCACGAUCUUGAGGGGUCUUAUUUUUUAUACGUUAUCAAUUGCUUUUUCACUUCUCCGAUGGUUAUUUAUGACCAUCGGAGAAGGGAAUCUGACCUGCUAAUUCGACACCAACUGUUCAUUUGGUAGACACUUAUGAAUUUCGAAAGGAAGUGCUAUUAAUGGAGUUGGUUAACUUAACAUAGACCGAACCAAGAGAGCAAAUUCUAUCUUGAUAAUCUUUCCUUUGGGAGAUCUGAUCUUAGUGGUCUUCUUCAUGAAAAGUGACUUUGGUAGUUUUUUCUUUUGAAGAGUCGAAUUUGGGUGCUCUACCCUUCCAGUCUUGCCUUUCCGACCUGACCUUAAAUGGUCUACUUUUUUGGGUCUUCUUCUGAGCAUUUUACUCUGAGACGUCUUCUGGGCUUUAAACCUAGGUCUUUUAAUAAAUGUUUCUGCUGAUUAGUUUCACGAGCAGUUUGGCUCUUUGUUGGGCUCUCUAACCCUGAACAUUCGUCCGAAUUUUUUGGUUUUCUAUAUUAUUCUGGACUCUUUAGCCCUGACUAUUUUUAUGAGCAUUUUAGCUCUUUUCUUGGCUCUUUUGCCUUGAUUUUUUGCCUAAGCUCUUUUGGCUCUCUAUAUGAUACUCCAGCCUUUUUAGCACUAAUUUUUUCUUUCAACUUUUUUGACUUUUCAUAACUUCCAGACAUUUUUGCCCUCAAGCGCUUUCCAAACAAUUUUUGCCCUUAUUCACUUUUCGGGCUAUUUGCCAUCAAAUGUCUUCCGGGCAUUUUUGCUCCUCUGGGCUAUCUGCCCUUAAGCAUUUUGGGGCUCAAAACCCUGAUUCUUCAUUCCGGACUAUUUGCCCUUAAGUGCUUUCCGGGCUAUUUAGCCCUUAUUUUCAACCAAACUUUUUACUCUUAACGAGAUUUCGGGCUUUUUGCCCCAGACCUUAGUCCAAGCAUUUUUGGACUUUUUCUUGUUUCUUAUGGGGGCAUGCUCAGCCCUGUCAUUUAUAUGAAAUCUUAAUGUCUUAUUAGGUCGGCAGGCCAUUUACGACUUUGUUUUAGCCAUGAUGGCCUAGCAAAAUAACUAUACUUUAAGAUUUAUAUAAAUGAUCUUAAAAUAAACAAAAAGAGUAAUAGACAGAAUCGUGGUAUACUUCACCCUAUCAUUUUGUGUUGUCAAUCCAUACUCCUUUUGGAAGGGAUCUUCUGGUACUUGGCACUAGAUCUCAUUCGAGUGCUCUUGCUCUUUGUCAUUCGAGCUCUUUGGCUCGCUGAUUUGCUUUCAGACUUCUUUUUCCUCAACUCGGCUUUUUAGUGUCGGAUGUCAAUUUCUGAGACCCGCCACCUGCCUCAUUGGACUUCUUUACUUUCUUAACUCAGGUUUUUAGUGUCAGCGGUUUAUUUUCGAGACCGGUCACCUACCUUAUUGAGAUCUUCAUUUUCUCAAUCGGUUUUGUGGUGUCGGUGGUCUAUUUUCGAAACCGGUCACUCAUCUCAUUGAGGUAUUCAUUUCCUCAACUAGUUUUGCAAUGCCAGCGGUUUAUUUUCGAGACCGGUCACCCACCUUAUUGAGAUCUUCAUUUUCUCAACUGGUUUUGUAAUGCCGGCGGUCUAUUUCCGAGACCAAUCACCCACCUCAUUGAGGUCUUCAUUUUCUCAAUAGACCGAGACCGAUCACCCACUUCAUUAAGGUCUUCAUUUCCCCAACUGGUUUUGUGGUGCCAGCAAUCUGUUUCCGAGACCGAUCAUCCACCUCAUUGAGGUCUUCAUUUCCUCAAUUGGUUUUGUGGUGCCGGCAGUCUAUUUUCAAGACUGGUCACCCACCUCAUUUCAUUUCCUCAACCGGUUUUGUAGCGCCGGCGGUCUAUUUUUGAGACCGGUAAUCUACCGCACUGAGGUCUUCAUUUUCUCAACCGGUUUUAUAGUGCCGACGAUCUAUUUCCGAGACUGGUCACCCACCUCAUUGAGGUAUUCUGGUUUUAUGACCGAGGCUUCCAGACUUUUUAGCCUUGUUAUUACUUUUAAAAUUUAUCUGUAAAAUAAAAGCUUGUACAGAUUGUAUGUAACAAGAAUGCUCAUUGUUAAUUUGAAUAGCAAGAUAUUUAGCUUCAUAUUUCAACUGAAUGCAAAAUAUUAAUUUUAUCCAACUAUAUCAUCUCAUAUAAUUCUAAAGAAUCUAAUAAAUAAUGUUUCUCAUUCAUAAAUCAUUCUACAGCUUUUAAUUCUCAUAACAGUAUACUUAAGCAAAUAAUCCUCUUUUUAAGGAAUUCAUAUCAAUAUUAAUCACCGAUAAAAGCUUUUUAAGCUGUUUCUAAAAUACUAUCAUGUCCAAGCAUAUAUUCAAAAGGACUACUGUUUGAAACUAGUCAUGAUGACAAAAAUACUUUGAACUAAACAGGUAACUGUAUAGUUUGGUUAACUCGCGCAUGUCACCUCUCUUUCACCCUGGACGGAUUACCCUUGUGUCGCAUUCCCUUCUCACAUUGCAGUCGACCUUUUUUUGACUUUACUGUGUGAUCAGCCAUUCUUAGGUCUUUUCUCCAUCUCUCUUUCCUUUGGUCCUUUUUUGCUAUUUGGCUAUUAACUUUUCUUUAUUUGCCAUGUGAAUCUCAACGGGCUUUGUUUGGAAACUUCAGUGAUAAGAUAUUCUCCUUCGUUUCCACAGACGAUGCCACUUGAUAAUACUAAGAUCUGGCGGGACGUUCAGAUGAGGACACUUAAACAGAGGUCUGAUUCACUGGAUUGAUCAUCCAUCUGUGAUCGGUCCGUUGAAUCCCUCCAUACUUGGCUUUGAGAAAGGGGACCUGUAAGAUGAAGAACACAGUCAACAAUCCACCGGGGAAGUUUUUAGUGAAAAACCUCCAACGCUCAAGUCAGAUCUGGGAACUUAGUGGAGAAAGGAAAGCAAAAUAGAGAAUAGAAGAGAAUAGUAGUUUUGUGUUCUCUCAGUGUGAUGGCGAGAGAGAGAUAGAUCAUUUCCUAGAGAAGGAGAGAUACUUUUUUAGGAUUAAUUUGGUGUAAAAAUACCUCUGAAUAAAGUUGAUGCCCCUGGUGCUGUGUCCCUUUCUGACGGGACAGGGAUGCUUUUAUAUAGGUGUGAUAGACAGUAUAUUAAUGAUGGGCUAUAGGAUAAUAAAUGCAGAGCUGGCCGGUUUGUGCCCUUUGCAUGCGCACUUAUGAUCUUGUGUUGUACCAAGGAGGCGACCAACUCGUAGGAGGUUAGCAUUUUUGCUCUGGCUUCAUCAAGUUGUGUCUGGUUCAUCUGACCUACAUAGAAAUGAACUCUUUUUUGUCAUUGAGGUCGGCCACAUCGGCAAUCAAAGUCUUGUUGUAGUACGGGCUUUUAAGGAUGUUUGCCCAUCCACUCCAGUCUUUGAGGAGGUCGGUCUAUUCGUUCCGAAUUUUGGUAAACUCAAGGGUAUUGUUAGUCUGAUUCUUUACACUCAGUAGGUCGGAUUUCUUACUAUCCGGUCCGACCAAAUGGAAAGCCUUUCGAUUCAUGUGUACACCUAUCACGAUCCUGGGAGUCCUAUUUUUUAUACAUUAUCAUGGACUAUAACCAAAAAAUAUAAAUCAUGUUACUAUUCAAUUAGUGCUAAUGAAGUAUCUAAUAUCGGCAACUAAUGCUAAUGUAGUAUUCAAUAUUCAAUUAAAUAAAAUUUUUAACUAGUAAACUACAAUUAAAAAUAAUUAGUAAAGUUGCAAUUUUAACUCUAAUACUGUCAAUUAAUGCUAAUGUAGCGUUCAAUAUUAAAUUAAAAAUAAUUUUUAACUAUAGUACAUUACAAUUUAAUUCUUGGGAUUUAGUAAAACCUACAGUUUAAUCUCUUUAUUUUCAAAUUUAGUCCAUAAAAUUUUUCAAUUACAAUUCAACUUUAUAUUUUUACAAAUAAUCCUUAAAUAAUAUAAUUUUUC
rnacentral:lncRNA from 1 species